UACCAGCACCCCGAGUGGUCGGGGCGAUUAUUGGGCCUAAAGCAUCCGUAGCCGGUCAUGCAAGUCUUCCGUUAAAUCCAGCCGCUCAACGGUUGGGCUGCGGAGGAUACUACGUGGCUAGGAGGCGGGAGAGGCAAGCGGUACUCAGUGGGUAGGGGUAAAAUCCUUUGAUCCAUUGAAGACCACCAGUGGCGAAGGCGGCUUGCCAGAACGCGCUCGACGGUGAGGGAUGAAAGCUGGGGGAGCAAACCGG
rnacentral:rRNA from 1 species